rnacentral:rRNA from 1 species
AUGGGGAGGCGGCCCCUCGCCAGCGCGGUCGCGUUCGUCGCGCUCGCCGUGCUCCUCGUCGUCGUCGCGGGCGCUGUCCACGGUGCGGGCGUACCAUCGUCGUCCGUGAUGGCGUCGGCGGGCAACGGCCGCGGCCGUGCCGUCGUCGCAACGGCCUCCUUCGAUGCCGCCCGGUGCAAGGAGCAGAGGAAGAAGAAAGCCGGUGGUGCAGCGGCGUGGGCAGGCGACGGCGAUGAGGACGAGGACGACGACAAGCAUGUCGUGCCGACCGGCCCAAACCCGUUGCACAACAGAUGA